rnacentral:lncRNA from 1 species
CACUGCCUCAGCGCCCCACGAAUGACCCGGGAGCUGAGAUAAUCCCUAAGGUGGAGACUCGGAAAAGAUUAUUCCAGAACAACAGACAGAAAAGGCAGAGAAGAGCAGAAGACAA